rnacentral:rRNA from 1 species
UACGUAGGGACCAAGCGUUGUUCGGAUUUACUGGGCGUAAAGGGCGCGUAGGCGGCGUGUCAAGUCAGGCGUGAAAGCCCCGGGCUUAACUUGGGAAUUGCGCUCGAAACUACGUGGCUGGAGUGUGGCAGAGGAAGGUGGAAUUCCACGUGUAGCGGUGAAAUGCGUAGAUAUCUGGAGGAACACCGGUGGCGAAGGCGGCAUCCUGGACCAUUACUGACACUGAAAAGCGAAAGCCAGGGGAGCAAACGGG